GGACAGUAAUAUUCAUGAAAUUUAACGGAUUUGGCGGCAAGAUAGCCACUUAGAGGAACCUGCCCUAUAAACGAUGAUCCACGAUAAAACUUUACUUUUAUUAGUAUUCAGUUUGUAUACCGCUGUUGUCAGUCAGUUUCUUUAGAAAACUUUCAUUCAUGAUAAAAUCAUUGACUUCAAGUAAAGGUGCAGCUUAUGUAAAAGACAGAGGUGGGUUACAUUUAAAUGAUUAAAACGGAUAAAGUUGAUGAAUAUAGCUUUUGAAGGUGGAUUUAAUUGUAAAGUUUAAGAAAACUUGAUUUGAGCUCUAUCUUGUGUACAC
rnacentral:rRNA from 1 species